CAGUCGCCGCGGUAACACGAAGGGGGCUAGCGUUGCUCGGAAUUACUGGGCGUAAAGGGCGCGUAGGCGGAUAGUUUAGUCAGAGGUGAAAGCCCAGGGCUCAACCUUGGAAUUGCCUUUGAUACUGGCUAUCUUGAGUUCGGAAGAGGUAAGUGGAAUGCCGAGUGUAGAGGUGAAAUUCGUAGAUAUUCGGCGGAACACCAGUGGCGAAGGCGACUUACUGGUCCGAUACUGACGCUGAGGCGCGAAAGCGUGGGGAGCAAACAGGAUUAGAUACCCCUGUAGUCCCUGUCUCUUAUAC
rnacentral:rRNA from 1 species